UUGAAGGAUUUGUAAGAAAUGUUUGAGGGAAUUGACUCGUUGUUAAACACUAAUUUAGUUCCCUCAAACAUUUCUUACAAAUCCUUCAA